rnacentral:rRNA from 1 species
UACGGGGGGGGCAAGCGUUGUUCGGAAUUACUGGGCGUAAAGGGCUCGUAGGCGGCCAACUAAGUCAGACGUGAAAUCCCUCGGCUUAACCGGGGAACUGCGUCUGAUACUGGAUGGCUCGAGAUUGGGAGAGGGAUGCGGAAUUCCAGGUGUAGCGGUGAAAUGCGUAGAUAUCUGGAGGAACACCGGUGGCGAAGGCGGCAUCCUGGACCGGUAUUGACGCUGAUGCGCGAAAGCCAGGGGAGCAAACGGG